GUUCUUUCCAUAUGAACCAGCAUGAAAGGGCAAUUCUGGAUAGUAUAAUAAUAGCCUUCCAAAUGAAAACUUUGAUCUUUGGCUGUUUGUUCAAUUUCCAUGUUUUAGUCCACACUUGGCUUGAGAUUGAAAGAGAAUUUGAAGGCCUGCUUAUAUCUCUGUUCCUGGCCCUCUAAAUAAGGAAGCGGUAACCCGAGCGCACUGUAUAU
rnacentral:misc_RNA from 1 species